rnacentral:rRNA from 1 species
GACAGAGGUGGCAAGCGUUGUUCGGAUUUAUUGGGCGUAAAGAGCGCGUAGGCGGUCUUUUAAGUCGGUGGUGAAAUCCCGGGGCUUAACCCCGGAACUGCCUCCGAUACUGGAAGACUUGAGUGCGGGAGAGGGUAGUGGAAUUCCCAGUGUAGAGGUGAAAUUCGUAGAUAUUGGGAAGAACACCGGUGGCGAAGGCGGCUACCUGGACCGCAACUGACGCUGAGGCGCGAAAGCGUGGGGAGCAAACAGG